rnacentral:rRNA from 1 species
ACACAUGCAAGUCGAGGGGCAGCAUCAUCAAAGCUUGCUUUGAUGGAUGGCGACCGGCGCACGGGUGAGUAACACGUACCCAACCUGCCGACAACACUGGGAUAGCCUUUCGAAAGAAAGAUUAAUACCGGAUGGCAUAAUUAUUCCGCAUGGGAUAAUUAUUAAAGAAUUUCGGUUGUCGAUGGGGAUGCGUUCCAUUAGGCAGUUGGCGGGGUAACGGCCCACCAAACCUACGAUGGAUAGGGGUUCUGAGAGGAAGGUCCCCCACAUUGGAACUGAGACACGGUCCAAACUCCUACGGGAGGCAGCAGUGAGGAAUAUUGGUCAAUGGACGAGAGUCUGAACCAGCCAAGUAGCGUGAAGGAUGACUGCCCUAUGGGUUGUAAACUUCUUUUAUACGGGAAUAAAGUGAGCCACGUGUGGCUUUUUGUAUGUACCGUAUGAAUAAGGAUCGGCUAACUCCGUGCCAGCAGCCGCGGUAAUACGGAGGAUUCGAGCGUUAUCCGGAUUUAUUGGGUUUAAAGGGAGCGUAGGCGGGUUGUUAAGUCAGUUGUGAA